rnacentral:rRNA from 1 species
CUACGGGGGGCUGCAGUGAGGAAUAUUGCACAAUGGGGGGAACCCUGAUGCAGCAACGCCGCGUGGAGGAUGACGCAUUUCGGUGUGUAAACUCCUUUUAUAUGUCAAGAAAAUGACGGUAGCAUAUGAAUAAGCACCGGCUAACUCCGUGCCAGCAGCCGCGGUGAUACGGAGGGUGCAAGCGUUACUCGGAAUCACUGGGCGUAAAGGACGCGUAGGCGGGUUGGUAAGUCAGGUGUGAAAUCCUACAGCUUAACUGUAGAACUGCACUUGAAACUACCGACCUAGAGUAUGGGAGGGGAAGAUGGAAUUAGUGGUGUAGGGGUAAAAUCCGUAGAUAUCACUAGGAAUACCUAAAGCGAAGGCGAUCUUCUGGAACAUUACUGACGCUAAGGCGUGAAAGCGUGGGGAGCAAACAGGAUAGAUACCCCUGUAGUC